UGGUUUUGUACAGCCAUACAGGAUAUAUUUAAGAAAUGACAGAAAUUGCACUUUACACAUAUGAAGCCUUGUUCCCCAAAAGGGGGAAAAGGAAACACCUACCAACAUGGAAUUAGAAAGUGCCUGUUGUUGACUGCAUCAUGAAUAUAAUCCAGCUCUGUGGCCAAGGUAAAUUAUUCUCUGUGUGUGUGUUUGUGUAUUAUUUUUUUCCCUUUGUUUUUAAACAGGUAAAAUUUAUAGAAUAUUACACAGGAUAAUAUAUCCCUUUACAAUAUAUACUUUGUUUUAAUUUAUACUCAGCAUACUUAUUAUAAAUUACUUUAAAAAUUCAUUAAAAAUAAUAUAAUAAUCCACAGUCUGAGCCCUUUCCCAUGGUAACUACAAUCACUUGGUACAAUGAGUGUAUUUUAUUAUAUGGAAAUGUUUCUGACCUACUUAAGAGAGGACCAGAAAACCUGCAUGUCAGUUAAAUACAGACUUCUGGAAUCUUUGUUCAAAAUAGACAACAAACAGAUGAAACUGACCCAGGCAAAUUUGGUCAUUUAAGACUAUUUCCUUGAUGAUUCAAAGUGGAGAUGGUAGUGGUAGUGGGAUCCCUCUAGUCAAAAGAAGCCAUGAAAAUGUUUACAAACAAGGAAAACUAGAGGAUUGGCCAAACCCAAACCAACAUUACCCAAAGGAUUUCAUGAAGAGGAUGCUCUCCUUGGCUGGGGAAAUUCUGGAGAGUAUGGGAGAAUAUGGGAGAGCCAAGAGUCUACUGUUACCUGUAACUACCACACCAGGAUGUUGCCCCAUGCCUGUUGGUCCAAAAUACGUCACCUUUGUUGCACAGCAUCAGCCAAAGGUAUGCCGGUUUUAAAUGGUGGUCACAGAAUGCUGGGUAAUGUGAGAGAUUUGGUCUCAUGAUAGGUCUUAAUAUUCAAUUCACUUAAGUAUUACAAUAGUGCUGACAAACGGCACGUCACAAGGCAAUAUUAGGAAUAAACCAACCCAGACAUCAGAUGAUGGAUGGCAAAUUCUUUCUCAGAACAGUGCAUAUGGUAGUUAGACAAACUGCAUUAGGAACUUCAAAAAAAACAUUUUCACAUAUCUCAAGAAAGGGUGUCACAGUUCAGUUAGGUGAGCACACCUUCAUUUCUCACACAUCAUAAAUAAAAACAAGUUUUAUAAUCUCACAAACGCCAAGAAGUUUAGGAUAAGGGCUCAUCACAAGCUGUAUGGUAACAUUCUGUGGUGAAAAAUAAUGGCAUCACUUUCCCCAAACACAUGUACAAGGGAAUCUUGUCAAUCCUGAUGGCCCAUGAUUUCUCCCCUGCUCCUCUUCUCUGUGGGAAAAAGUUUCAUGGGAAAGAGGUUAAAGAGCCACACAUACACAGACAUACACACAUACAUCUAU
rnacentral:lncRNA from 1 species